GAGCUAGUAGCUCAGCCGGUAGAGCAGCGCCCUUUUAAGGCGAAGGUCGUAGGUUCGAUCCCUACCUGGCUCA
rnacentral:tRNA from 1 species